GGAAAUCUGGAUACCUCUGGUCAAGUCUAGAAACGUAUUUCUGAAUAGAACCAGAACAUACCACUCAGGCCACUUUUUUCUCAGGUACUUUUUCAAAUUAAAAUGAAAUCAACUGAUUGCAAUUAAAAAUACUGAGAUUUAAAGUUCAGCCUUAUCUUAAACUGAAAUACAGUAACAGGUAUUUUGGAGGAUGGCAAAUCAACUCAGACAGGAGGAACUACAACACCAGCCACCACAGGGAUUCUGAGCAGUGAGAAGAGGACCAUCAGUGGGACCCAGUGCGUGAACGCCACAGGAGCUGGGCCACCACGGCAGAGCAGCUUCCGAGCAGCAGAGGCAUGUAGAAACCUUGGAUUUGCUGCUGAAGGCACAGCACAAUGCAAUUGGCAGAGAUGCAGAAACAUGUACAUCUUGCCAAAGCAUGCACAAAGAGGAAAACGGAAAGAGGAAAACACAUGAAUUAUGGAAUUAUGGAAAUGUCAGACCGUCGGAUUAAAUCCCGAUGCUAGUUAUGUCAAUGUAAAUCCAUGAAUACAUAAUUUGUUUAAAUAUAUUAUAACAGAAAUUGUUCUCUGUCUUCUAUUAAAAACAGUAAUACCUUUUUUAAUAUAAAUUACUCUGUGGCUCUUGUUUGUAUGGGAACAAAUACCUGCUUUUGAGUGUGAAGAAU
rnacentral:lncRNA from 1 species